rnacentral:lncRNA from 1 species
UGAUUUUUAUUUUGGAAUGCUUCCUCAGGUGAAUGACAUAUCACCAAGGUGUACACGAAUUUGAUUUGAUUUAGCUUAGCCAGUCAGUACAAUAUAACAUGUAUAAUGCAAAUUCUUCAUAUUUUCACAAGGUGCAAGGUGGUCUUCGUGAUAUAUUUAUGUAUAAUACAAAUUCUUCAGGUGCAAGGAAUCAGGUUGGUUACCAGCCAGGAAUCUGUUGUUACAUCUGAAUUAUAAGAUCCUUCGUAUGUACCGAGGAAACAGGUUGGUGCCAGGGAACGUGCUCGUCCCUUCACGUAAGGUGCAAGGAAUCAGUUGGUGUUUACAGGCAAGAAUUUAUUGUUGCGUCUGAAUUAUAAAAUUCAAGAAAAAGUGAAUCCAUUGGUUGGAAUGGGUAGACGUUUUGUUUUUCUGCGUUUCUUUUCCUUGUAUUUCUAGUUUCUACGCCUGCCCCAUAUUUAACUCUUGAUUGACCAUUGAAACAGUCAAACUUUUGUCUACUCUAUGACUAUGAAGUUCGUUAUGACCAAUGUAUGCAUAAGAAUUUGA